UUUCAGGUGGAUAAGAGUUGCCAUAAAAGUUUUAUUGUCAUAAUAUGAGACUGACCAUAAUGUACAAGGUGCAUUGAAAACGUGAUCAUCUUGAGACAAAAUUUGGUUCUAAGAUAUUCAACAACAUUCAUACUAACCAAACAUCACUACAAUUCGUUAUAAUAUGGAUAGUGAACAUACUGCCAUAUUCACUAUAUGGACUCCAAUCGUUAUUGAUUCAUCUCUAUAAUUAAAUGCGCACUAAUUCUUUCUGAUAAUAGUCACUGACAGAGGCGGCCUCAGGGGGUGCCGAGUAGGGCAACCGCCAUAGGCCCCCGCGAUUGACGAAAUUAUUUGUAUCUAGUUUGUUGAUUUUUCCUGCACAAUGUUUCUGAAUCAUUAGCUUACGUUGAUUAAAGGGAGCUAAAUCAGUAUUAGGGAUCCGGGAACAAAAUCUUACCUACAGAAUUACAAUACAGAACGAAACUAAAGUACUUACAUAAGUAGCUUUUUUUUUUUUUUACAUAAUAAGGUCUAUAUCAUUAGAAGAGGACGAGCCCAUUAGCUUGUUGUGGUACAGAAGAUGUAGUCUACGCUUUUUGUUGACGGACCUGUGUAUGAAAUUCGCCCGGGGCCCCGCCUAUCACACUCGCCCCGGGAAGCCUCUGGUCACUGACUUUUAAUUCGUCAUUAUCAGAUGCAGAGACUUGAAGAGUUUCUAACAGAAAGGAGGCUAACAAUGAAAACUAACUCUAAAAUUGUGCACACUCAAAGAGGAAACAAUAAAAUAACAAGAGACUAGGGCUUGCGGACUACAAAACAGACUUCAGUGGAAUAAAAAUAAAAAGGUCUUUUUUUUUUUUUUUAAUGAUUCUAGUUUUCUACGUUCGAGAGAAGUUAUUAUUUUUUUUUCUGGAGAAAGAAAAAGACUUUCUUUUUUAAUGGAAUACUACAAAAUAAAACAAGGAAUAGGGUUGCUUACAAACCUAAUAAAUUGUAUUCAGUUUGUAUUGUCUGUGAUCUGUUGUCACAGAUAAAUAAAUAGUAUACUCAUGAUAAGUACUUUCUCACAAAACCUUCACAAUUGACAAUGACGCACUAUCAACAUAUUAGUACAGUCUGGGGGGGGGGGGG